UACGUAGGGUGCGAGCGUUAAUCGGAUUUACUGGGCGUAAAGCGAGCGCAGGUGGUUUAAUAAGUCUGAUGUAAAAGGCAGUGGCUCAACCAUUGUGUGCAUUGGAAACUGUUAGACUUGAGUGCAGUAGAGGAGAGUGGAAUUCCAUGUGUAGCGGUGAAAUGCGUAGAUAUAUGGAGGAACACCGGUGGCGAAGGCGACUAUCUGGUCUGUAACUGACACUGAGGCGCGAAAGCGUGGGGAGCAAACAGG
rnacentral:rRNA from 1 species